rnacentral:rRNA from 1 species
AUUGAGUUUGAUCCUGGCUCAGGAUGAACGCUGGCGGCGUGCCUAACACAUGCAAGUCGAACGAAGCAUGCGGAUGGAAUUUCUUCGGAGAGGAAGCCUGCAUGACUGAGUGGCGGACGGGUGAGUAACGCGUGGGUAACCUGCCCUGCACAGGGGGACAACAGCCGGAAACGGCUGCUAAUACCGCAUAAGCGCACAGCUUCGCAUGGAGCAGUGUGAAAAGCUGCGGCGGUGCAGGAUGGGCCCGCGUCUGAUUAGCUGGUUGGCGGGGCAACGGCCCACCAAGGCGACGAUCAGUAGCCGGCCUGAGAGGGUGGACGGCCACAUUGGGACUGAGACACGGCCCAGACUCCUACGGGAGGCAGCAGUGGGGAAUAUUGCACAAUGGGGGAAACCCUGAUGCAGCGACGCCGCGUGAGCGAAGAAGUAUUUCGGUAUGUAAAGCUCUAUCAGCAGGGAAGAAAUUGACGGUACCUGAGUAAGAAGCUCCGGCUAAAUACGUGCCAGCAGCCGCGGUAAUACGUAUGGAGCAAGCGUUAUCCGGAUUUACUGGGUGUAAAGGGAGCGUAGGCGGCCUGCCAAGUCUGAUGUGAAAUACCGGGGCUCAACCCCGGGGCUGCAUUGGAAACUGGCAGGC